GCACAAGCGGUGGAGCAUGUGGUUAAUUCGAUGCAACGCGAAGAACCUUACCUGGGCUUGACAUCCCUGGAAUCCCCCGUGGAAACAGGGGAGUGCCCUUCGGGGAGCCAGGAGACAGGUGCUGCAUGGCUGUCGUCAGCUCGUGUCGUGAGACGUUGGGUUAAGUCCCGCAACGAGCGCAACCCUUGUCUUUAAUUGCCAUCAUUCAGUUGGGCACUUUAAAGAGACUGCCGGUGUUAAACCGGAGGAAGGUGGGGAUGACGUCAAGUCCUCAUGGCCUUUAUGCCCAGGGCUACACACGUGCUACAAUGGGUGGUACAAAGAGAUGCAAUCUCGCAAGAGCAAGCAAACCUCAAAAAGCCAUCCUCAGUUCGGAUUGGAGUCUGCAACUCGACUCCAUGAAGUCGGAAUCGCUAGUAAUCGCGGAUCAGCACGCCGCGGUGAAUACGUUCCCGGGCCUU
rnacentral:rRNA from 1 species